GGGAACCAGUCUAGCUAAACAGCCAGUGGGUGCUUCCGGGCUGUGUGGAUUGUGCUAACUGCAGGUCUGUGAAGACCUGGGGCCUUUCUCUUUCAACACCAGCUAGAAAGCUGCUGCAUCCAGCUCUCCAGUUGGAAACCUGGCUCUGAUACCAGAUGUAAAAGGAUGCUGGCUCUGAUACCAGAUGUAAAAGAUGUUGACUAGUUACCGUGAAAUAUACAUGGAAGACUAUAUGUGAGAGGAUAUUGUGACUGUACAUAAGUCUAUAGAAAUCAUGACAGAAGUUCCAGAGGAAAUAAACCCCCAGCAAUGUGGAGAGCGGAAGCAGCUUUAUCAUCACAUAGAAGUUAUUAACAUGUUUGGAAGGCAGACCGUGAAAAGGUACACACUGACAGCUUAUGGUAUAAAACUCCAGCAGUCAUUGGCUAUCUGAAAAAGUUAUUUAUAUUUCAUGAAAUGUCUGGAAGAUCUGUGAAGUACAAGUGGAAGAUAGGGAAAGUUCAGUCCAAGAAGAUGUGAAGUUCCCUGUGGCCACUGUCUUGAAGAAUCCCAGACGAAGGACCACAUGGAAAGGGAGACCUAGCAGCCUAGGUAUCCCCGCCAGGUCUAGUCCCCAGCUGAUCUUCUGUAAGUGAGCCCAGGUAAGACCACAAAGAACUACCCAUACACCCCACUUAAAAUUAUAUGAAAUAAUGCACUCACUGUUCUGAA
ensembl:lncRNA